rnacentral:tRNA from 1 species
GACCGCGUAGCUCAGUUGGCAGAGCAUUGGCCUAGUUUUCCAAAGGUCGUAGGUUCGAUUCCCACCGUGGUCA